UACGAAGGGGGCUAGCGUUGUUCGGAUUUACUGGGCGUAAAGCGCACGUAGGCGGAUCAUUAAGUCGGGGGUGAAAUCCUGGAGCUCAACUCCAGAACUGCCUUCGAUACUGGCGAUCUAGAGUCCGGAAGAGGUGAGUGGAAUUCCUAGUGUAGAGGUGGAAUUCGUAGAUAUUCGGAAGAACACCAGUGGCGAAGGCGGCUCACUGGCCCGGUACUGACGCUGAGGUGCGAAAGCGCGGGGAGCAAACAGG
rnacentral:rRNA from 1 species